rnacentral:rRNA from 1 species
AUACGGAGGGGGCUAGCGUUGUUCGGAAUUACUGGGCGUAAAGCGCGCGUAGGCGGCACGCAUAGUCAGAGGUGAAAGGCCUGGGCUCAACCUGGGAACUGCCUUUGAUACUGGCGAGCUUGAGUCCGGGAGAGGGUAGCGGAAUUCCCAGUGUAGAGGUGAAAUUCGUAGAUAUUGGGAAGAACACCGGUUGCGAAGGCGGCUACCUGGCCCGGUACUGACGCUGAGGUGCGAAAGCGUGGGGAGCGAACAGGAUUAGAUACCCCAGUAGUCC